CUCAGAACAAUCAUUUCUUCAUAUCAGAAGCACACUCUCAAGACAUCGGGACGCCAAGGGCCAAACUGUGCAGUCAACACAGCUGAACAUCAUGUAUGAACUGAACGACAUCUAUGCCAAUGUGGAGGACCUGUCGGGCAAACGAAGGAGUAUAUCCCAAAGCUCUGAAGUGUUUAUGAAAAUGUGAUGAUCAACACUCUGAAGCCAAGCAGAAGUGGACCCUCGCCCUCAGGUAAUAAACACAAUGUGAACACAUUUAAUACGUCGACUGUAGCUUCGCGUGUACAUAUGACUGAGACGCAGCCGUCACUUUCCGUCGGCUCCUCCGAUGCGGUCGUGAGCGGCGGAGGAAAAGCUGACGACGCAAGCAGGAAAUCCCCGCGUAGGCCAGGCCGUCUCAUUUCAGGGGCCGCUCGGUUUAGCCCAGGUCGACCACGAAGGCUGGGUCCUCUGGAGGAUGCAGCCGACGAAAGGAGACACAUUGUUUGUUCAUGUGCUUUGCACAGGCAGCGCAGGAAUGACAGUAGAACAACAACUACUGCAUUAGCAAUUAUUUUAAGGGUCGACGAGCAAGAUGGUGAAGAAGUGAAGUUAAAUGUCGGACCUCGACCUUCAGGUGUUGGAGAUGUGAAGAAGAGUUCCUUUAGAGCCGUGGCAGUGCUUCUGGGUCUCCUGAGUUUCUUCCUUCUGACAGGACUCAUAACUUCGGUUUGCCUGUUCACCAAAGGCAUCUCACAGAGGGAAAUGGAGAUAAUCCUGUUACAGACCAGUUACACCAACCUGACUAAAGAAAGAGACAACCUCUUGAAAGGAGUUCAACACUUGGGCAAUGAACUAAAUAUUUGUCUCACAAAGAUACAAACAAAUGCGUUAUCCAACCAAAGACGGGCGUAUAAUGGCGUAUUUCAUGGACGGGUAAGAAGAGAUGGAAAUGGGUGGAUGGGACGCCGCUGACCAAAAGGGUCGCGGGGGGGCUGGAGUCCAUCCCAGCCAACUUCGGGCGAUAGACAGGGUACAUCCUGGAUUGGUCGCCAGCCAAUCGCAGGGCUACACAGAGACAUAUAACCAUUCACACUCACACAUCUACGGGCAAUUUAGAGUCCCCAAUUAACCUGAUCCCCAGAGCAUGUCUUUGGACUGUGGGAGGAAGCCGGAGAACCCGGAGAGAACCCACGCAGACACGGGGAGAACAUGCAGACUCCACACAGAAAGGCCACUGGGCGGAAUCGAACCCAGGACCUUCUUGCUGUGAGGCAACAGUGCUAACCACCAUGCCACCGUGCCGCCCUCUUAAUAAAUAUGUGGUCAAUUUUAUGUUUCCUGCCCUAUUUUAACUUCUACUUCUUCUACAUACAAGUAUUGACAAGUAUUUUUGGGUUGAAUAUAGUUUUGACCCAGUUCUAUAAUUUUUUGGAAUAAACAUUUGCUUUCAUUCUUCACUUAAAUAUAUUUUUACAUAUUCGCUUUGUUAUAUGUUUAGGAUUUCAGAUAUAUAUUUUUAGAGUAUUUCCCUCCAGCUCAUACCUUUACAAACAGACAUGUAUAACAGACAUACUGAAGGUUUUGCAUAUAUACUGUGCUCAGUGGACAAAUAUAUAAAUGCCAUAACUGCCAUUUGACAAGGUUGUACAAUGUGCUUAAUUACUUGUUUGAUUUUUCCCCCCCACUGGGUUUCUGCCCAAGACUUGGUCGCUCAUCGUCAUAUUCUACUGCCUCCUCCUGGUUUCCUUUGUAUUUGAUGUGUCUUCCCUCUUUUGUUCCCUAUUUGUCAAGAGUGAGCUGAUAUUCUCCCCUAUUCAAUCAAUUCAGAGGAUGUCAAAUAGGGGAAUAAAUAGUUAUGCUGAAAGACAAUAUCCGACUCUCACUUAAAACUUUUUCACUUUA
ensembl:lncRNA